GAAGACACUGGGUCGGCAGGGGCCCAGGCCCCACCCUGACCCCGCCUCCCGCUCGCCCACGCAGCGCUCUACCGGGAGUACCGCGCUCUGAAGCGGACCACGGGCCAGGCCGGCGGCGGGCCCCGCAGCUCCGAGUCGCUCCCCGCGGCGGCCGAAGAGGCGCCAGAAUCCCACUGCUGGGGGCCCCAUCUCAAUCGGGCUGCGACCCAGAGUCCACAACCUACGCCAGGGCGGAGCUGCCAGGGGUCGGUGCCAGACUACGGGCAGCGGCUCAAGGCCAAUCUGAAAGGCAACCUGCAGGUGAGGGGUGGGCAGGCAGUGAGUCCACGCUAGGUCCAGAGCUGCUUCCGGUCCGGGUCACCCUCUUGUCAUUUUUUCCACACAGACAGGCACAGGCUCCUGUGCCAACCAGGGCACGAGUCUCCAGGAAGUUUUUCAGGGCCUUCGCCCUUGACUCCCUUUCUAGCCCAGUCUUGUGCUAAUUAGCGUGCUUUAUGAUUGAGCGUGGGAACUCAGC
rnacentral:sRNA from 1 species